AAGGCCGACGCGCCUUCCGUGCGCCGCUCGCCCCGCACCUUGGGCCGCUCCUGCCGCUGCCACUGGAUUUCCUUCUCGCCCUGGCAGCGCAGGUCAAAGGGCGCGUUGAGCGGAACCACCAGAAACCCAAACGUUGUGCGCUAACUCAGAUUUUUGGAGCUGCUCAUAAAACCCUCCAGCAUUGGCAAACGCCUCAGGUCCAGAUGAAGACCAUCAGAGCAGGAUGCUGCCCCCACCAUGCUCCAUUCUAGGUUGGGAGCGACUGAGUCCAUAGGCGGUGCCCUCCACAACCUUCCCGAAGGCUCCAGAACCCAGGAUGCGACCUGGGGGGCAAAUUUACAUGAUAACAACCAAGACAAUGAGUGAGAUGAUGACAAUGACCAGCAGCACCAGCACAGCGGCAGCUACGGUCAGCUCCCGAUGAGGGCCUGUUCGGGAGGACAGUCGGCGGUAAGAUGCGUUUCCGGAUGGCACUUAUGACUUAUUUGAUGAGAUGCUACGCGAGAGGCACUUAAUUAACUCAUUCACUCCCAAAGACGUUUUUAAACGUCUUUUCAGUCUUGGUCUAGAAUUGACUGGUACUGAAUGAGUUAAAUGCAGUUUGCAUUACUGAAGGCCAGAGGGGAUUCUGGGAGCAAAGAGGUGGGUGGGAAAAGUUUGCAGAUUACGGGUGAUGAUAGGUUGUAAAGCUCCGGAAGGACCAAAUAGUUGAAGGACUGCAUUAGCUGUCAAAACAGAGC